UUUUCACAUAUAGGAGGCCUAACACCUGUGAAGAGAAGACUGGUCAAAUUUGAAGAUUUGACAAGUGGGUCAGGAUUACUUUCCACAGGAGCAGAAAAGACACCACCAUUUCUCAGUCAGACAACUGUUGACACUGCAACCCAAGUGGCACCAUUUUCAAGUGAGGAACCAUAUUCUGACAGACGGCCAAUUAGAUCUCUUCCAAGUGAG
rnacentral:lncRNA from 1 species